CGGGCCGGCGGGCACUCGUCUAACCCUGAGGAGGUUGUGGCUGCGGACUGGCUUUCCCGGUUCCCUGCCCGCUGUUUUCCUCGCUGAGUUCCAGCGGGCCGGAAGGCCAGGCCUCGCAGCGUGCCAUUGUGUUCUUCAGCACAAAAACGUCAGCGGCAGGCGCGAGCCUGGAGGCCUGCGGCGCCGGGCCGCCCAGCUCCGCACCCGCCGGAGGCCGCGGCCGGCCGGGGGCCCUGGGCCCCGCUGCCGCCGCGAAGAGCUCUGCUCUGACAGCCGCGGGCCGCGGGAGCUGGGGCCGGCCCGGCCAGCGCUGCAAGCACAGGAACGGAUCAGGUCCGGGUGCGGUGGCUUCCCUGAGCUGUGGGACGUGCACCCCCGGAACGCGCUUCCCACAGCC
rnacentral:telomerase_RNA from 1 species